ACCACUGUAAGAAGACAAGUUGG
rnacentral:siRNA from 1 species